rnacentral:rRNA from 1 species
UGGGGAAUCUUAGACAAUGGGGGAAACCCUGAUCUAGCCAUGCCGCGUGAGCGAUGAAGGCCUUAGGGUUGUAAAGCUCUUUCAGUGGGGAAGAUAAUGACGGUACCCACAGAAGAAGCCCCGGCUAACUCCGUGCCAGCAGCCGCGGUAAUACGGAGGGGGCUAGCGUUGUUCGGAAUUACUGGGCGUAAAGCGCACGUAGGCGGACGGACAAGUCAGAGGUGAAAUCCCGGGGCUCAACCCCGGAACUGCCUUUGAAACUGUCUAUCUUGAGGUCGGGAGAGGUGAGUGGAAUUCCGAGUGUAGAGGUGAAAUUCGUAGAUAUUCGGAGGAACACCAGUGGCGAAGGCGGCUCACUGGCCCGAUACUGACGCUGAGGUGCGAAAGCGUGGGGAGCAAA